GAAAGGGAACCCUUUGGUUUUCACACUUUCUUUAAUGAAAACCUGAAAUACAGAAAGAAAAAUCUUACAAAGAAAAAAGCAUUCCUGACUGUCCUUACAUAGAAAUAUAGAACUUUGCACAACAAGAAGGGCAGAGACAUUCUUCUGCUUCCCAGGAUAACUGCAUUUCUGCCCAUGGCAUCCUAAGACACCUUCCAUCUAGAAUCUCCUUGACUCUGUGCUAAGUGCAUGCAUCGACCCACAGAGAAAUCACCCCCUACUUUUUAAGUGUAGCAGGAGGGGAGCUCUUGUCUUCCCAGAAUGCCACAUCCCACGGAGAAAUUUAUUCUACAGGGUAAUAGGAAAGCAGUUGAGACAUGCACAACCAUUACUCAAUUCAGGGCUCUAUGUACAAUGAUUUAGCCUGAACAGAUGGCUAGGAGGUUAUAAAAGAAAUGUGUUUUACUAUAUAUGAGUGCGAAAUGAAAUGACUCUUUUGCUAAAGUUGGCUAAGAGUCAGAACAGCUACAGAGUACAUAGGAUUUAUGAGACUAACCUCUGGAUUCCUUCCUGAGCCCAGGAAAUUGCAUUCCUUCGAGAUCUGGACUGACAUUCAUUAACCAUGAAAAAUUAUGCUCUUUUGCAAGGAGCGGGACAGGAAGAUAGAAGUACUGAAAAGCCAAAUUGUCUUACACCAGAAAAGAAUAAAAAGGCUAAUAAGUCAGUCCUCAACACUUCUACUCUCCUCUCACUCCAGAGAAAGGGAAAAGUUGCACUUGCAAAGGAUAGAGAACAAAUGUUCUCAGAAAUUCAAGUUAAGAAUUUUUCUUAAGUUUGUAAAUUGGCAAGUAGAGAGGCAUGACCUGCUUCAGCCCAUUAUUGUCCCGUGUAUGGUGUUUUCUAUACAGCUAGUCAGGCAGACAAAAAUGAUGAAGAAAAAAUGCCCAGAAAACAGAAAAUUAAGCAGAGAAAGGAGACAGCUCUGGCCCAAGUACUACUAAACUCUCUCUGCUUAGGAACUACUAGGCAUUCUUCAAGACCAAAGCUUUCUUUCAGGUGUCAGAAGGUGAAAAGCCCACUUAUGGUGGCUUUUUUGAAGCAGUUCUUUUACUAAUGGACAGUGAUUCUUUAGGCUAUGCAAAAUAUGCUUCAAAGUCAGAGACAACUGAAAAAAAGAAAAAAAGAUAAUGUCUGUCUCCAGCCCUCCUCACCCCUCUUCUGGGCAUGGGCACAAUAUUCCAGAUGCAGUAAGGGAAACACAGAGCACAACAAGAGUCAAGUAUCCUGAGGAAACUAAAUUAGCAAAAGGCUAAUUUCACAUCGUAUGACAUGGCAGGUAUUGGCUGAUAAAGCUUUCACUUCAUGAAAAAAAUACCAAAAUUUCAAAAUUUGCUGUUCCAAUGUAGAAUAAAAUUCAAGACAUUUUCUUCUGAACCCAUCAUAACCAAUCACAGGUACAAUAAACAAUUUGUUGAUCAGAAUGCUAGUUUGGGAAGUAGGAGAGUGUCAUCAGGCAGAGCAGCGGUAUGCAUCCCAGCCUCCUUAUCUUUCAAAACUCUACUAGUUUCUCUCAUAUUGGAGUCUGUUUCUUCCUACAAAAAUAUUUUCAUUUCAGUAUUUGCCGCCUUCUUCUAACAGAGGAAUCUUUCCUGCAUGCCUGGAAGUGUAAUUACCUGCCUGGUUAAAUUUAUCCUUUGGUUUCCACAGAAGACAAUGUCUAAGACAUGUAGGCAUUCCAGAGAACAGUAGGAGAUACCACAUCCUAUCCUGAGGCAUUCACACAUUUGCUGUAGGAAGUCAUAGGUUCCUGUACCCAUUCUUCUGACUGAGGAUAUAAGGCAUGAAUAGUGCAUACCAUUUUAAAGGAUAAACAAGCACGUAUUUAACCUGUUGUGAACUAGGAUAUUUCAGACAAAUAUAGAGAAACUGAAUAUGCCAUCCUGCAAGCAGGAUUUUAAACCUGAUCCUGAUCUUAAAGGGAUAUUGUCUUCUUGAAUUGUAAUUCAUCCUAUAGAAAAUAGUCAGGAAGGUUAGGAGGCUGGUUAUAAGUCAUGGAAGGCUUCAGAUGACUUUACAGUGUUUUAGCUACCUCAUACUAUGCACAGGAACAUACAUAUUCUUCAUAACAGUGCAGCUAUGUAUAGUUUGAUAACCACAAAGACUUAUUUUUAUUAUAUCUGCAACAAUUGUCAUGCAGUUGAGAGAAGAAUCCCCCUAUACAUAAACUGCCACUUGCAAACUUACCCUGAAAGGUGAAAAAACAUGCUUAUCAGUACCUACGGACCUUACAAACAUACCUUUCACUGGAAAGCAACAUGAUCAUGUUCCACUUUCCAUCAGACAGUGCACAUUCUGCUAGAACAACCAUGAAGACAAAGUAAUGUGUUUUCUCUGCAGCCCUUUGCAGCAGUCCAGAGCUGCAUGCUGGGGAUUUGAGGGAGGAUUGAGAGUUGGUGUCCAUUCGUUGCAAAACAAUCAACUCUCUGUCAAGAAAGACAUAGAAAAUAUUUACAAACGUGCAAGCAAAAAAUGAUUUCUCUGCUUCAGCUCAGAAGACCAUUUAGCCCAGCAUCCUGGCUCUGCCAAUGGUCAAAGCAGAUGUUCACAGAGAAGUCCAAGAACAGGACAAGUCCAUAGUGGUAAUUCUCUAAAAUACUCUCACGGUUUCAUAUAAUUUGUAGUUCUGGGACUCUGAGUGGGAUAGACAGAGUCUUUACAUUUAG
ensembl:lncRNA